UACGAAGGGGGCUAGCGUUGCUCGGAAUCACUGGGCGUAAAGCGCACGUAGGCGGCUUACUAAGUCAGGGGUGAAAUCCUGGAGCUCAACUCCAGAACUGCCUUUGAUACUGGUGAGCUUGAGUCCGGAAGAGGUGAGUGGAACUGCGAGUGUAGAGGUGAAAUUCGUAGAUAUUCGCAAGAACACCAGUGGCGAAGGCGGCUCACUGGUCCGGUACUGACGCUGAGGUGCGAAAGCGUGGGAGCAACA
rnacentral:rRNA from 1 species